ACUGAAAGUGAUGAUUGUGUGCAGGAUGAAGAAGAAAAGGUUCAUCAUUCCUGUCUCUUGGUUUUGAAAAAAAAUAACCUCUUGGGAAGCCAUAGGAAUGGCAAUCUAUGUCUAAUAUGGAUUUGAAACUUUAGGAGUCAUGAAGAAGUUAACUGCAGUGAUUUCUAGACUUUAUAAUAUACUCUCCUUUUAAAAGACUCAAGUUGAGAAACCAUUUGAGCCCCUUGUAGUGGACCGGUAAUAAAUGAUUAAUUCAUGGACAUUAUUAAUAGUUAUUGUUUCUCUGCAGUUCCCAAUGAGAUGUACAAGGGGCAGCUUUCAUCGGCUUAGGAUAGAUAUGCAUGCUCACUGGACAGCUGAUAAAAAGGACUGGGACUGGGCUUUGCAACAGCUGGUUUACUUAGAUUGGUAGCAGUGAAGAGAAGAGAAGAUGCUUCAGAUAACUAACAGGAAAUGUGAAAGAGGAGCUUCCAUUUUUUUCUGAAAUUAGGUGUCUACUUGUGGUUUAUGAAAUAGGCUUUACCCACUCUGACUAGCUUGAAUAUGAGGCUGUGUCCACGCUGCUUUUGAUAUAUUGCAGAACCACAAAGAGGAGCAAGAGAGCUUGACUCACCCUUCACAUGAGCUCAUCCCAGUCUGUGCAGCUGUGUGGUAUUUUUAGGCCUUUUCUCUCUUUUCAGGGUGCACAUGGAGAAACAGGAGUAUGUUCAAUUUUUUUGUGCAGAUGUCUGAGCCAACCAGUCCUGGUUUUAUGUCAACAGUCUCUGUUCAGAUGACUGAUGGCUGUAAUGGAUAAUGCUGCUGUACUCAUUUACUUUGAUUUCUCUUGCACUGGAAGCCUUUGACUUGAUGAUGUAUUUUUUAUAUUCUUCCAAUAGUGGAUAUGAAACCAUUGCAGCUGUUUCUCAGAUCUGAGAGGGAAUUUGUGCAAGGAUAAAUGGUAGUGCUUUUUAUUGCUUUUCAUGGAGUCAUCUUAAACCUCAUGUAUGGAAAGCUCCAAGUAGAGAAUGUGUCCAGUGGAGUGAAUUAUUUGUUUUACAGAAUAAGGAAUACAUGUGCAGAACAGUGUAGCUUUAUUGUCUUUGCAUCAAAGGAUUCCUUCUGAGAUACUUUUCAGUAGAACAAUGCUUUGUUGGUUCUUUUUUUUGUUUUGUUUUGUUUUCUCUACACAUUUCUUUGCAAGAAAGCACUUACUGCUGUUCUGUGAAUCAUGUUUGAAGGAAACAGGCCUGAAAUAACAUUCUCUCAUCGUAAAAUGAUUUGUGUGUUGCUGUUAAGAUCAGAAGCUUUUCUGACACUGAGGGUGAGAUACAUUUGAUGUAUGUACUUCAGACAGUUACAUCUGUGGUAGUUUCUCUUCUUUCCAUGGUUAGUAAAGAGAAACAGGAACUAACAAGGAGUUACCCUGCUCAUUUUAGGUAUCUGCUUUAGAUAACUUGAGAAGAGUCUAAGUGACUUUCUCUUCGUUGUAACAGGAGUCAGCAAGAGAUGUACUUUAGUCAGGUGAAUCCCACUCUUAGAGUAGAAAACCAGUUUAACUCAAGGGUUACAGUCUUUUGGGGAAAAUGCUGAUCAAGACCAAUGGACCUUUCCAGACAAAGUUUUUCACAAGAAAAGGCUUCUUUUUCUGGUGUUACAGAGAAUGUGACCUGAAUCAAUUGGAAUUCCAUGGAGAUGGAAGAACAAGGAUGGUGGUUAUUAUUUAGUCUUUUUUUGUUGUUUUUAAAGAAGAGUAAAAUCCAUUGCUGAGAUAUGUUAUACUUGACCUUCAGAAAAAAAAAUAAAAAUCUGAAGAGUAUAAAAUAUGGAUUAAAAACACUUAAGGGCAGCCUGUCCUUUCCAGAGAAAUAACAAAUAAAGGAGUUCAACUAUUAUGUAAAUGAAUGUUCUUAGAGAAGGAAUCUCAAGAAUUUUUAGUGGCUGAGGAGUUGAUACAUACUCAAGGUUAGUGCCAUUUAAAAGUAAAAUUGGAUUUAUCUGACAAAGAUUUAGACCUGUUUCCUGACUGCAUACAUAAAAGAGAUAUUUUAGCAAUGGGUUUUGCUCUAAUACAUCGGCAACGGUGGGAGUUUGUCUAGAACAGUAAAUGCAAGAAGACUAAUAGCCAUGAUUAAAAAGAAAUAAAAUAACUUUGAAAAUGAACCCUCCUCAUAAAUACCAGAAUUUAUAUUAAGUUAAAAUGUUCAAUUAAAAUUAUCCAGAG
rnacentral:lncRNA from 1 species